AUUGAACGCUGGCGGCAGGCCUAACACAUGCAAGUCGAGCGGAUGAAGGGAGCUUGCUCCUGGAUUCAGCGGCGGACGGGUGAGUAAUGCCUAGGAAUCUGCCUGGUAGUGGGGGAUAACGUCUGGAAACGGGCGCUAAUACCGCAUACGUCCUGAGGGAGAAAGUGGGGGAUCUUCGGACCUCACGCUAUCAGAUGAGCCUAGGUCGGAUUAGCUAGUUGGUGGGGUAAAGGCCUACCAAGGCGACGAUCCGUAACUGGUCUGAGAGGAUGAUCAGUCACACUGGAACUGAGACACGGUCCAGACUCCUACGGGAGGCAGCAGUGGGGAAUAUUGGACAAUGGGCGAAAGCCUGAUCCAGCCAUGCCGCGUGUGUGAAGAAGGUCUUCGGAUUGCAAAGCACUUUAAGUUGGGAGGAAGGGCAGUAAGUUAAUACCUUGCUGUUUUGACGUUACCAACAGAAUAAGCACCGGCUAACUUCGUG
rnacentral:rRNA from 1 species